AUUGCUCACAAAGCCUGAAUAUUUCUUUUUUGGCCUUUUACAGGAAAGUUUGCUGACCCUUGCCCUAGAGCAAAGAAGAGGAGUCAGAGGGAAAUCAGAACUGGGCAUCUGAGUUGGUGGUGACAGUGCUACAGAGAACCCAGACCUCACCUUCCCUGUAUCAUCAGGACCUGGCUGCAGUGUCACCGAACAGGGCAGGUUGACAACCAUCUAAAAGAUCAGAAGGAGAAAGAGAGAGGCUUUUUGAAAUAGCUGGGGCACUCUUGAGAGCCUUUUGAGAGAAGAAAUUUGUCUGGAGAAAGGCCUCCAUCCAGGAAAGUAUGAGGAGAAUUGGACUGGAUGAGUCUGAACAUCACCUGGCACACGGGAUUUUCAGCUACAGCUAGAAGCCCAGACUCUGCAGAGAAGGUUGGUGUCUAUGGAGAAGGUGAAAAGUCAGAAUGAAUGUACUUUUGGACUAGCCUUCAACCCAUUUUUGUCUUCAGACCCACACUUGAAGCUUAGCCCCUCUUUCAACUCAGGCCCAUGGUACUCUCAACAGGACGUAGAUCUCAUAGGCCUUUAAUUCAUUAUUAUGAUUGAACUUAAACCAUUCUCUCUUUUCCUGGAGUAUGUGCAUUUCUUGCCGGAGGUAUAAUUUAGCAAAAGUAAAAUGCACAAAUUUUAAUUGCACAGCUUGAUGAAUUUUUACCUACUGUGGAAGGCUGAAUAAUGCGUCCCCAAGGAUAUCAGGUCCUAAUCCCUGGAACCAAUAAAUGUUACCUUAUAUGGCAAAACAGGACUUUGCAGAUGUGAUUAAAUUUAGGAUCUUGAGAGGGGAAGACUAUUUUGGAUCAUCCGGGCGGGCCCUAAAUGUAAUCACUAGUCUGUUUAUAAGAGGGAAGCAGAGGGAUAUAGAGGGAGAUUUAACUGCAGAGACAGAAGGCAAUAUGAGGACUGCAGCCAGAUGCUAUGUCUGGGCUUUGAAGAUGGAGGAAUGCAGCUCUAGAAACUGGAAAAGGCAAGGACACAGAUUCUUCCCUAUAGUCCCUCAUGGUUGCCGAGUGGCUGUCACAGUUCAGGCAUAGCCCUGC